GAUGAACGCUGGCGGCGUGCCUAAUACAUGCAAGUCGAGCGGACGGACGCGAAGCUUGCGUCUCUCAUGUUAGCGGCGGACGGGUGUGUAACACGUGUAUCCCCUCCCUAUAAGACGGGGAUAACUUCGGGAAACCGGAUCUAACACCGUAGAAUAUUCUGCUCCGCGGGGUUCAAUGGUGAAAGACGGUCUUGCUGUCUCUUCUAGAUGGAUCUGCGCUGCAUUAGCUAGUUGGUCAGGUCACGGCUUACCAAGGCAACGAUGCAUAGCCGACCUGAGAGGGUGGUCGGCCACACUGGAACUGGGCCACGCUCCAGGCGCCUGCGGGAGGCCGCAGUAGGGUAUCUUCCGCAGCGGGGGAGAGCCUUACGGAGCAACGCCGCGUGAGUGAUGAAGGCCUUCGGAUCGUGAAACUCUGUUAUUAGGGAAGAACAUCUGUGGACGGAACCGAGCACAUCUUGACGGUACCGAGUCAGAAAGCCCCGGCUAACUACGUG
rnacentral:rRNA from 1 species